rnacentral:tRNA from 1 species
GCCUUCGUAGUGUAAUGGUAGCACACUCGGCGAAUAUUCGAUAGGUGCAGGUUCGAGUCCCGGCAAGGGCA